GCAGCUCCCGUGGCUGCAUAUGCAUUUUUUUUCGACUUCACCCUCCUCCUCUCUUCCCGUCCAUCAUCUUCUCCACCAAUUUCCCAUGCUUUUUUUCCUGCGGGUUGACGAGCUCCCUUGCGCACCGGCUCCAUCAUGUUGUACCUGCUCGCCGCCACCCGCGCGGCUAUGGUUUGGGGCCGCCGGAGACGCACGGCCGCCGCCCAGCUGUUGCUUUCCCUGGUGGCCACCGCGCGUGCCUCCACGGCAAAGGCGCCAGCUAAAUCCAGUGGGCAGUCCACCCCCUCCCCUUCCGUCAUCGAGCCAGUGUGCUGCCUCUCCCCGUGCUUCACUCUCUUCCAAGAUGUGGAUCCGAAAAUUGAUGCGGCGGCUCUCCGGCUCCGGCGAGAAGAACUAGGUGGGCGGCGCCACGCGCUGCCGACCGUUGGGCCCUUGGCAUGGCGGGGCGGUUGGCACAGGAGCGACAUGGGUCACUUGCGUUCAUGGGUCUUGGCAGGGCUUGCGGACUGAAUCGAGCGGGCGGAGAAGAAAGAUGUGUGUUUGUCCCUUGUCCUUAAUCUUCGAGGAUAUCGGUGUGGCGGCCGCGAACUCCGCUUAUGCAACAUGCCUUGAGCAUCGUUAUCGUGGUCAACGGUGUCGUGCUUCCGAGAAAGGGGCGAUCCCGAGCUAGCUGCCGAACUCCAUCGUGGAGGAUUCAUAGCCAAUGGUCAUGUGCACCAGCAAUGGCGGUUUGGCCUAGAGAUCCCCUCCGGCUUCGUCGAGCGGGAUGAGACGUCAGCGGAGACCCUCUCCUUCAGCUCAGCAAAAGAGCACGGGCCACCACCGAACGCCACCAGAGGAGGACGCCUACACCCCUCCUCCGGUCCCUCUGUACCUCCCCCUCAUCAUACGCCAAGAGCUAUGCGGUUGAAUUGAUCUGAGGUUUGUGUUCGAGCUUCCCGUGGGAUACAAGGUGUCCGGCUCUCGCUCAUCUGCUAUGUGAAGGAGAUUAGGUGUCCGCCUAAAAUCUGUGUCGGACGCACGAUGUAGCUCUUUAGUUCCUGGAUGUCGUCCAGCUUCAUACGCUCAUUCACCAGGCAAGUAUAUUCGUAUCCAUAAAUCCUCGGCUUAGAUAUAUCUUCUCCUCCCCACGGUGAAUCUAGAAGCUAUACUCCUGCCCCACAUGCGCCCUUUGUUUCACGUCCUAAUUAAGAUGAAUGUAAGCAGCAUACUAAUCGCUUUAUUUUUUCAUUCGCCGAUUAAGCAUAGAGGUUUUCGUCUGAUUGCUUAGCUUUCGAUUAGAAAAUACAUUAGCAAACACAGUUUUAUCUAAGGAGGUAAUUUUUAAUGUCUUAUUAUUAAUAGGGGUCCAUUAAAUUAAGUUAGGCUUAAUGGGUUAUUUAAAUUUCACAAAGCAAUGCAUCUGAAUAGCUAUAUAUAUAAAUAAUACUGCCAUUUUGAGCUGCUAUGCGCACAAUGCUCUUUGUCCGAUUUGCGUACUAUGUGAACCAUCCAAACAUACAUGCGACAGAAGUCAAGCAAACGGAUGCAUUUUUUCCCGGACAGCCAUCGGACACGAAGUGUCUACUGCAGAGUAGUUUCGUUAUGCUUUUGAUUUGUAUCUACCAGUUUAAUUAUUUCAGGGAUGUGUUCAGUCAUGACUUUUCAUUCUCGAGAGCAGAUUUUUUCAUUUGGGAUAAUGGAUCUAACACACACGUUUGUAGUCUCUCUUCUUCCCGCAUUGAUGUGUGCUAUGAAUAUUUUGUAUGCUAGAUUAUAUUUAUAAAGACUCAUACUUUUAGUGCACAACAGUAGAAUUGUGAUGCAUUUCCCCCCCUCCAGCCAUCGGACACGAAGUGUCUACUGCAGAGUAGUUUCGUUAUACUUUUGAUUUGCAUCUACCAGUUUAAUUAUUUCAGGGAUGUGUUCAGUCAUGACUUUUCAUUCUCGAGAGCAGAUUUUUUUUCAUUUGGGAUAAUGGAUCUACCACACACGUUUGUAAUCUCUCUUCUUCCCACAUCGAUGUGUGCUAUGAAUAUUUUGUAUGCUAGAUUAUAUAUUUAUGAAGACUCAUACUUUUAGUGCACAACAGUAGAAUUAUGAUGAUUGUUUGCUCCAGGUUUUGUUAUAUGCUUCAGACUUGCAGGCACAUAAUACGUAUUCUCCUUUGAUGUUCAGAAAUUUAUGGCUGUUGGGUUCUUUGCACACUUCAUUUUGUGUCAUUAUAAUUUUGAAAAAGACUAAUUUAUUUAUCAUGAGAUAUGUCUUGGCCCUUAGUAUGUACAAUCACAUGAAUUCCAAACUCUUUUGUGUUUCCACAUGAUUUGAGAAAGUUACUAAUCAUUUACUUAAUAUAGCGCGGUUCUUUUUAGCACUAUGAGCAUUUUCUGAUGCUAUGAUUUUAUUUCAGAAAAAUACUAGAUCAAGAGACCAAACUGCACAUAUGUUGUGAUUGUUGUCCCCUUGACCGACAAUCUCACACCUUUCUUUAUAGCUUGCAGUACUUAAAGUUCUAAUGUGAUCCUCUACUGUUUUGUACACUUUCUACCAUGAUGCUUAGAUAGAUCAAAAAACGGCUUCCUAUAUCUGUAGUUAUUUGUAUUUUGAUUGCUCUGGCAACCCAAAUAGAUGAAGGAAAGUUUCUACUGUCUGUUUGAAGAUUCAGACAUGGGGAACAUAAAUAUUAUCUCAUGUAUUACGACUAAUGAUAUGUAUCAAUGAAGGAAAGUUUCUACUGUCUAUUUGAAGAUUCAGACAUGGGGAACAUAAAUAUUAUCUCAUGUAUUACGACUAAUGAUAUGUAUCAAUGAUUCAUGUCAGCUGUCGAAAAGCUGAGUGGAGGUCAUAUUCCAAAACCUCUUAUUUUCUAGCUAUAUAUUAAAUAUAUGGCGAAAUAAGCUGUUCUUCAUCACUUCCUUUAGUGCAUGGCUUCAGAAGAUAAAAAAAAAGUCAGCUGGUGUUCGCAUUUGAACUUCAUUUGUAUGAUUACAAAAAUUAGGCAAUUUAUUUGUUAUUCAUUGGUUCUCAGAUUUAAAUCUGCUAUGAAAUUCAGAUACAUGAUUUAUUCAAUCAUUUCACUCUUC